AGGAGAGAAAGAAAGAGGAAGGGGCAGAAGGAGCCGGAGGCGAGCGCGGAUCGCGGAUCCCGCCGGGGAUGGGGGAUGGGAGCUGGAUCCCUUCCAGCUGCCAUCAGCACCCGGCCAGAUCUUUGUCCUUUGGCUCUCCUUAAUGCCCUGCCAAGGCCAGCCCUGGGGGAAAUGGAAUGAAUCCCUGUGAAUUCCAGCAGGAAGGAGCCCCAGAGGAGCUGAGGGAGGCCUGAGGAGGAGCUGCUGGAGGAGGGGACACCCCAAUAACUGCCCGGGCCUGUGGCCUCCUGCCCUUUACUAACAAAUGUCAACAGCUCGGUAAAGUCCUGCCUUCCUUCUUUCCAAAACCAGGAUUUGGGGUUUUGGGGGCAGAAAAGUCCGGUUUUCCCCGCUGUGUGUGAAAAGGGAGGAAUUCGGGUCUCGUUCC
rnacentral:lncRNA from 1 species